CCAUGUUUAUAUUGUUUAAUCUUGGAUUACCACCUUUCUUUUUCAUGGUUGUUGUGGGUUUUUCCUGGCUUUUUGGCCGUGUUCUGAAGGUUGUUCUUCCUGACGUUUCACCAGUCUCUGUGGCUGGCAUCUUCAGAGGACAGGAGUAGGAACUCUGGGCUCUUAUUUUUCAUCUUGAACAAUUGUGUGGUAGUUAUGUACAUCAUGCUCUUGUAUCUAUCGAAUGUGAGCAGUGUAUAUAAAGUAUAGUUUGCUUACCAAGACAAACAUUUCUUUAUGCUCAGGAAGGAAAGAAUUCAGAACUUUAAAAAUCAGAACAUGGAUGAAAGCAAAAAUGACUGAUUUUCUCAACCUGACCUCUGUCUAUUUUCAUCAUUGAAAUAGCUUACCUGGUGCACAGGUGUGAGGCUUUUUUUGGCUCUUUGCUUCUCUUCUUGCUUUUGUGAUUUUUGAUGCAGUGGCUGUGGAUGCUCCACCUCAGAGAAAGCCUGCUUCCAAAUUAAAUAAAGCUCCGCAAUAGGGAGAGGUGUGUGUACAAAUGUAUUUAAAAAUGCCAAAAUAGAUAAAUAGGGGUGGGGGUGGGGACUUUGGUUUAAGUCACAUUUCCAGUUCACUCUGCUAAAAAUGUUCACCCAGACAACCCUCAAUCAUACCUGCUCCAGUUUGCUUCCACAGGCAGCAUCAAAGAGAUACUUGGUUGGCUGUUUGUAGCAUCAUCCCAUUGUGACAUCACCAUGCUGAGUGGUCUCUGCUAAGGUGGGAUACUUCAUGGGACCGGUUGUGAAGGAUAAGCAGACAGCUGCCAGGGCUAAACACUGGAACUACAGAAACAACAGUAACACUGAGAGGUUUUGUUUUCUAGUAGAUCAUUGGAAAGAUUUAAGCUGUUUUCAUCUGAUUUUUCAUGCACCGGAUUAUAAAAUUACUACUCUACAUAAAGAUUUCAGUGACCUAAAAAUGGAGGUCUUUAUAUUGAAUAACUUUGCUGCUUCUCAUGUGGCAGCAAAGUGGCUUUCAUUCUGAUUCUGCUCCAAAACGGUGAGAGGGCUAUACCUUUAAACCCAGCUAAAAGUUAUUGACUGGGUCUCAGUUCCGGCUUUCUUCUGGACCUGCUUUAAAAUCACCAACUGCCCCAGAGGUCUCUGCCUUCAGACAUGUGUGAGCACAUUAUUAUUAUUAUUAUUAUUAUUAUUAUUAUUAUUAUUAUUAUUAUUAUUAUUAUUAUUAUUAUUAUUAUUAUUAUUAUUAUUAUUAUUAUUAUUAUUAUCAUCAUCAUCAUCAUCAUCAUCAUCAUCAUCAUCAUCAUCAUCAUCAUCAUCAACUAGUUAACAACAACAACAACAACAACAACAACAACAACAAUAACAAUAACAAUAAUAAUAAAAACACCAGGCACAGUCA
rnacentral:lncRNA from 1 species